ACCUGCGUGGCUUAGUUGGUGAAGCAUCUGACAUCGGCUCAGGUCAUGAUCUCACAGUUUGUGGGUUCGAGCCCCACAUCAGGUU
rnacentral:tRNA from 1 species